CUAGAAUGAUACUUGCUGGAUGGAUUGAAAAAGUGAAGCUUUAGCAGCAAGUAGAAAAACUGAAGCAUCAGGUGCAGUAACUCAUCCAUUGAGUGAAAAGGUUCUUCCCAUGUCCCCACUCUCAGAAAUGCAUUCUGAAAUUUGGAAGAAACAAGACAUUACACAAGUACAUGGCUUCACUACCAAGGAGAAGGGCAAAAUACCAUCUUUGAUUUAAUUCCAGGCUUCAGUCUCUAAUUCUAUGGCAAAGAUUGCUCAUGAAUUAUUUGUUCCUCUGCCAAGCUCAACAGGGAUAACUAGCCUUGCUCUGGGAAUAGGAGUUUGAUGAUUGGGUUGCAUGAACCCUGGAAGCCUGGAAUAUUCAUCUGUUUCUAUUUGCACAUUUUUCUGUCCCUCCUGACUGCAGCACUCCCCAAACCUACAUGGAAGAGCUAAAAUCAAUUCUGGUAAAUCUCAUCAACUUCUAGGACACUGUGGUAGAUUUCCUUCAUAGCAUUAACUGGAAGAAACAUUUUCUUACUCAGUCACUACAUUUGUCAAGAAAUAAUGCUAUGGUUGAAUGCUGCACGAAAUGAUAGAGAUUAACAGUAGCACAAUACUAGACAUUUCUUUUUUGCUAUUCCACUUAAUGCCUGAUGUAACCUCAUGAGGUAGAUGUUGUACCCCUGACUUUAGAGAUAAGAAAACUGAACUUUUGGGAGGUUAAAUAACUUACUUACAGUCACAUAGUCAAGAAAUGGAGAUGGCAAGAGUUCAGGUCUAGGUUUCUCUGAUUGCAAACACUAUAACCUUUCUAUUGCUUCACUCCGUUUGGCUUUAAAGCUGUUAAAUGAGAAUGACCAUAAUACCCCAGAGAACUUCUGUGAGGAUUAAAUGGAUAUGCAAAAGCUCUUGACAUAAUACCUGGCUCAAGACAUUUGGGGAGGCAUUCAACUGGGACUUGCAGGAUUCACUUUCAAUGUGGCUCACCCACAUGGCCAGGAGUGCAGACCAGGACCAGCUGUUUUUCUCCACAUGGGUUUCUUCAAGGACUUCUUGGGCUUCUUCAUAGCAUGCCAGCUGGAUUUCGUGAGUAAGCUUCUUAAGAGACAAAAAAUGGAGGCUGCCAGUUUAAUAAAGCCUGUGCCAGAAACUGGUACAGCAUCACUUCCUCCAUACUCUUUUAGUCAAGCAGUCAUAGGGCCCAGAUUCAAGGAGAAAAACAUAAACCCUACCUUUUGAUAGAAAUAAUUUUCACUUGAAAACUUUGGGGGCAUGUUUCAAAAGUAUUACAUCUCUCAAACCUCCUGGCAGUCAAUGCCAGAGCCAGGAUUUAACUGCAGGUUUAUUUGAUGCCAAAGCCCAUUUUACAAAGACUAGAACAGACCUGAGGAGAAAUAUAGCAGGUUUAAGUAAUUUCCCAUGGGGAAAUGAAAACUCUGAAUCCAAAGUCUUUAAAUUAGCUACUACGCUAUGGUUCACAAGAUGAAAUGGAGUGCUGCAUGGCAGUACAUUUUUAAAUUGUGAUGCUUUCUAUCAAUAAACUGUUUGUAAAUGAAGUAAA